rnacentral:lncRNA from 10 species
AGACGGCGGUCGGGUAGGUGACGGCUUGGUUGGGGUCGCUGCGAGGGGACUACUAGGAGCGCCGAGGCGUGAGUCGUAGCCUGUGGCUUGGGGUCGGGAGUGCAGGAGGCGAAAAUGUUUGCCAUUCUUUUGAAAGUCUGGCCUGGGUGUGGGAGUUCGGUCAUCGAACACUUACUGAGAGCCAGAUACCUGCCAGGCACUGCCCUGGGCUCCAGGGACACAUCAGUCAACGAACGGAAGGGCCCUGCUCUCAAGCAGUGCGAAAAGCAGAUUAUAAACAAGUCAACAAACGGGAUUAUCUAAGGUUCUCUACUCACAUCUUUUAAUCUUGAAGACUAGAAAAUAUAACUGGAUCUACCACUUGUUUGGAAAAUUUCUCUACCAAGCAAUAAAUUACCCGCUGUGCUUUUGUUGUAGUGUAGAAGUUUUUGAGUUCUCCAAAUCUAAACAAGAUUUUGUCCCAUUUUCCCAUGAAGCUACAUUGUUGCUUAUUCACUUUAGUGGCAAGUAUUAUUGUGCC